rnacentral:rRNA from 1 species
CAGUGGCGAAGGCGGCCUUCUGGACUGACACUGACGCUGAGGUGCGAAAGCGUGGGUAGCAAACAGGAUUAGAUACCCUGGUAGUCCACGCCGUAAACGAUGUCGACUAGCCGUUGGGCUCCUUGAGAGCUUUGUGGCGCAGUUAACGCGAUAAGUCGACCGCCUGGGGAGUACGGCCGCAAGGUUAAAACUCAAAUGAAUUGACGGGGGCCCGCACAAGCGGUGGAGCAUGUGGUUUAAUUCGAUGCAACGCGAAGAACCUUACCUACCCUUGACAUCGAGAGAACUUUCCAGAGAUGGAUUGGUGCCUUCGGGAACUCUCAGACAGGUGCUGCAUGGCUGUCGUCAGCUCGUGUUGUGAAAUGUUGGGUUAAGUCCCGUAACGAGCGCAACCCUUGUCCCUAUUUGCCAGCGAUUCGGUCGGGAACUCUAGGGAGACUGCCGGUGACAAACCGGAGGAAGGUGGGGACGACGUCAAGUCAUCAUGGCCCUUACGGGUAGGGCUACACACGUGCUACAAUGGCCGGUACAAUGGGUUGCGAAUCCGCGAGGUGGAGCUAAUCCCAUAAAGCCGGUCUCAGUCCGGAUCGGAGUCUGCAACUCGACUCCGUGAAGUCGGAAUCGCUAGUAAUCGUGAAUCAGAAUGUCACGGUGAAUACGUUCCCGGGCCUUGUACACACCGCCCGUCACACCAUGGGAGUGGACUGCACCAGAAGUGGUUAGCCUAACUUCGGAGGGCGAUCACCACGGUGUGGUUCA